GUCAAUGCAAAACUCAGAUGUCUUCCACCUCUACUUAUCUGACUGCAGAGAGGAUGACAGAGAACAGUGGACACACAGUUUAACAUGAUGGACUAUAGGACAGGACUGCUGCUGUUAACUAUCUGCUGGGCAGGUGUUGAUGGUCAGACUCUGACAGAAUCUGAACCAGUGGUUAAAAGGCCUGGAGAAUCUCACAGAUUGACCUGCACAACCGCUGGAUUGUCAUUCAGCAGCUACUGGAUGGCCUGGAUCAGACAGGCUCCUGGGAAAGGACUGGAGUGGAUUGCCACUGAAGCGGGUAGUAGUGGCAAAUUCUACUCUCAAUCAGUUCAAGGCCGGUUUACCAUCUCCAGAGACAACAGCAGAGAACAGCUGUAUCUGCAGAUGAACAGUCUGAAGACUGAAGAUUCUGCUGUUUAUUAUUGUGCUCGAGACUCACAGUGACUGGAGUUGGUUGAGCAGCUGUACAAAAACUUACAGUACUCAUCCAAACUGGACUGAUGGACUAUGAGAAACAAUAAUUUCAGUUAUUUUGAAGAAAUACAUGAAAACUGAAAUAUUAUUAACCAACAAUUAUUAACAACAAUAACCUCAGUUCCUCACUGAUCAAGGGCAGCACAACAAUCACAAAAAUACUAUAUGUAUAUUUCAGUCAUAUUAACCCUCAUCCUAACAUACUGUUUUUAUACUCUGACGAUCAUUCAACAAACAACGAUAACCAUUUAAACACGUUAAAAUCUGUCACUGUAAUAAUCACUUCCUCACAAAACAGCCAGACAGCACAACAGUCUGGUUACUGAAAUCAUUGUCCAGUUAUGAUUAAAAGAAAUACUACACACAA